AGGACGAACGCUGGCGGCGUGCUUUACACAUGCAAGUCGAGCGGUAAGGCCCUUCGGGGUACACGAGCGGCGAACGGGUGAGUAACACGUGGGUGACCUGCCCCUCACUCUGGGAUAAGCCCGGGAAACUGGGUCUAAUACCGGAUAUGACCACAUGUCGCAUGGUGUGUGGUGGAAAGCGUUUAGUGGUGGGGGAUGGACCCGCGGCCUAUCAGCUUGUUGGUGGGGUAAUGGCCUACCAAGGCGACGACGGGUAGCCGGCCUGAGAGGGCGAUCGGCCACACUGGGACUGAGACACGGCCCAGACUCCUACGGGAGGCAGCAGUGGGGAAUAUUGCACAAUGGGCGGAAGCCUGAUGCAGCGACGCCGCGUGAGGGAUGACGGCCUUCGGGUUGUAAACCUCUUUCAGUACCGACGAAGCGAGAGUGACGGUAGGUACAGAAGAAGCACCGGCCAACUACGCGCCAGCAGCCGC
rnacentral:rRNA from 1 species